ACCAGGAUGGCCGAGUGGUUAAGGCGUUGGACUUAAGUUCCAAUGUACGAAUGUACGCGUGGGUUCGAGCCCCACUCCUGGUA
rnacentral:tRNA from 2 species